rnacentral:rRNA from 1 species
UGGGGAAUAUUGCACAAUGGACGAAAGUCUGAUGCAGCAACGCCGCGUGGAGGAUGACACAUUUCGGUGCGUAAACUCCUUUUAUAUGGGAAGAUAAUGACGGUACCAUAUGAAUAAGCACCGGCUAACUCCGUGCCAGCAGCCGCGGUAAUACGGAGGGUGCAAGCGUUACUCGGAAUCACUGGGCGUAAAGAGCGUGUAGGCGGAUAGGUAAGUCAGAAGUGAAAUCCAAUAGCUUAACUAUUGAACUGCUUUUGAAACUGCUUAUCUAGAAUGUGGGAGAGGUAGAUGGAAUUUCUGGUGUAGGGGUAAAAUCCGUAGAGAUCAGAAGGAAUACCGAUUGCGAAGGCGAUCUACUGGAACAUUAUUGACGCUGAGACGCGAAAGCGUGGGGAGCAAACA